CCUUUCAUUUAGAGGAAGGAGAAGUCGUAACAAGGUUUCCGUAGGUGAACCUGCGGAAGGAUCAUUGUCGAAAUCGAACGGAAGAACGACCCGCGAAUCGUCACCGCGUACUAGAGACCUCGUGAGCAGCUAACGCGCACGCGGCUCGCGUCGCGUCGGCGCGGGUGUGCUAGAGACCCGCGUCGCACCGGCGAACGAACAAACUUCAGCACGGAUCGUGCCAAGGAGCUGCAUUUUGAGAAUCGUCGUCCCACGCCCCGAUCGUCCUCGAUGCGGGACGGGGGAUGCACGCAAUCUCUGAUAAAAGUCUAAACGACUCUCGGCAACGGAUAUCUCGGUCUUGCAUCGAUGAAGAACGCAGCGAAAUGCGAUACUUGGUGUGAAUUGCAGAAUCCCGCGAACCAUCAAUUCUUUGAACGCAAGUUGCGCCCGAAGCCAUUCGGCCGAGGGCACGCCUGCCUGGGUGUCGUGAAUCCCCUUGCCCCUAGGCACCCGCACGAGCAUCGGCGGGGAUUAUAUAUGCGAGGGCGCAGAAUAUGGUCUCCCGUGGGAUCGGCAUGCGCGGCAUGCCGAGGCGCGGUUGGCCGAAAAUCGAGCACGGCGGUGACGGGCACCACGGCGUUGGGUGGGAUCGAACGAGAUUGGCCGCGUCGUGGUCUCGGCAUGCUGCGGGCUCCGGACUUUGACAAUCCCCGAGUGCGAUCCCAGGUCGGGCGGGGCWACCCGCUGAGUUUAAGCAUAUCAAUAAGCGGAGGA
rnacentral:rRNA from 1 species